ACACGCAUCACCAGGGAGAUCCCCAGCAGGAGGCAGAUGCUGCUCACCAUGAAGCCCAGAGACUCAAAGAGGAACCUGGAGGCACAACAGAUGCAAUAAGCAGUGGAUGCUGCUUGCAGUCUGGAACCCAGGCACGCCUUUGGUUCCUUGCUGGUUUCAAGGCCAUUCAGGAAGACACUCAAGUGGGACUUGGGAACCCUCAGAGUUUAGCAGUGAGGCCUGCCAUAAACGCAGUGCUAUCAACCCAGCAUGUGAACAACUGCCAAAGCACCUGGCUGAAAGCAGCUCCCAAGGAGCUGAAUGCAGUGAAUUCCCAACAUGACCAAGAACUAGGAUCACACAGCUAACCCCUGGCACUACCACAGGACCGCCAGCAAGUCUUUCC